rnacentral:rRNA from 1 species
CUGCGUGGAAGGGCCAUCGCUCAACGGAUAAAAGCUACCCUGGGGAUAACAGGCUUAUCUCCCCCAAGAGUCCACAUCGACGGGGAGGUUUGGCACCUCGCUGUCGGCUCAUCACAUCCUGGGGCUGCAGUAGGUCCCAAGGGUUGGGCUGUUCGCCCAUUAAAGUGGUACGCGAGCUGGGUUCAGAACGUCGUGAGACAGUUCGGUCCCUAUCCGUCGCAGGCGGAGGAAAUUUGAGAAGACCUGUCCUUAGUACGAGAGGACCGGGAUGGACGUACCUCUGGUGUACCAGUUGUUCUGCC